rnacentral:lncRNA from 1 species
AGGCGCACCGGCCGGCCUCGGAGCUCUACCAGCAGGCUUUCAUGGGAGCGGAGGUGCCCACGUUUCCAUUGUGCGGUAACCGCGCUUCAUCACAGCCACCUCCAAUCGAGGCCGCACGGUGUCCCCAGAACCACGCUCGGUACAACCUGCCCCGGCCGCUGCGCUCGACUUGGGAGCGCGCCCCGCCCCGAGCGCACGACCUCCCUUCCCUCUCCGCGACUUGAGCUUGCUUCCCGGAAAGCCAGUGUAGUGGCAGCGGUUUGCCUCACAGCGCCCCUGUGGUCUCAAAUAGUCAA